AGAGUUUGAUCCUGGCUCAGGAUAAACGCUGGCGGCGUGCAUAAAACAUGCAAGUCGGACGGGCAUCUUCGGAUGCUAGUGGCGGACGGCUGAGUAACACGUAAGUGACCUACCCUUUAGUGGGGAAUAACUGCUCGAAAGAGUAGCUAAUACCGCAUGUGCUCUUGUUAUCGAAGGUAAGAGUAAAGCCGAGAGGCGCUAGAGGAUGGGCUUGCGGCCGAUUAGCUAGUUGGUGGGGUAAAGGCCUACCAAGGCGAUGAUCGGUAGCUGGUCUGAGAGGAUGAUCAGCCAGACUGGGACUGCGACACGGCCCAGACUCCUACGGGAGGCAGCAGUUAGGAAUUUUGCACAAUGGCCGAAAGGCUGAUGCAGCAACGCCGCGUGGGGGAAGAAGGUCUUCGGAUCGUAAACCUCUUUUCCAGGGGAAGAUAGUGACGGUACCCUGGGAAUAAGCCCCGGCUAACUACGUGCCAGCAGCCGCGGUAAUACGUAGGGGGCGAGCGUUGUCCGGAUUUAUUGGGCGUAAAGAGCGCGUAGGCGGCUCUUCAAGUCGUGCGUGAAAUACUCCGGCUCAACUGGAGUGAGCCGUGCGAUACUGGAGGGCUUGAGGUCGGAAGGGGAAAGUGGAAUUCCCGGUGUAGUGGUGGAAUGCGUAGAUAUCGGGAGGAACACCAGUGGCGAAGGCGGCUUUCUGGACCGAUCCUGACGCUGAGGCGCGAAAGCGUGGGAAGCAAACUGGAUUAGAUACCCAGGUAGUCCACGCUGUAAACGAUGGGUGCUAGGUGUCGGGGGUAUCGACCCCCCCGGUGCCGCAGCUAACGCAUUAAGCACCCCGCCUGGGGAGUACGGCCGCAAGGCUAAAACUCAAAGGAAUUGACGG
rnacentral:rRNA from 1 species